GUGCUUGCUUUGGCAGUACAAAUACUAAAAUUAAAAUGAUACAGAGAAGAUUAGCAUGCUCCUUGAUCAAAGAUGACAUGCAGAUUAAUGAAGCAUUACAUAUUUUU